rnacentral:rRNA from 1 species
UACAGAGGGUGCGACCGUUGUUCGGAAUCACUGGGCAUAAAGCGCUCGUAGGCGGCACCGCAAGUGUGGGGUGAAAUCCCACGGCUUACCCGUGGAACUGCCUGGCAGACUGCGGUGCUAGAGGAUGGUAGGGGAGAGCGGAACUCUUGGUGGAGCGGUGAAAUGCGUAGAUAUCAAGAGGAACACCGGUGGCGAAGGCGGCUCUCUGGUCCAAACCUGACGCUGAGGAGCGAAAGCUAGGGGAGCAAACAGG